GGUCCCGUAGUGUAGCGGUUAUCACGUCGCCCUGUCACGGCGAAGAUCGCGGGUUCGAUUCCCGGCGGGACCG
rnacentral:tRNA from 1 species